GCCGGGAUGGCGGAAUUGGUAGACGCACGGGACUCAAAAUCCCGCGCCCCUCAAAGGCGUGCGAGUUCGACUCUCGCUCCCGGCACCA
rnacentral:tRNA from 1 species